UACGUAGGGACCGAGCGUUGUCCGGAUUCAUUGGGCGUAAAGAGCUCGUAGGCGGCUGUUCAAGUCGAACGUGAAAACUCGGAGCUCAACUCCGAGCCUGCGUUCGAUACUGGACGGCUAGAGUCUGGUAGGGGGAUCUGGAAUUCCUGGUGUAGCGGUGGAAUGCGCAGAUAUCAGGAGGAACACCGGUGGCGAAGGCGGAUCUCUGGGCCGUAACUGACGCUGAGGAGCGAAAGCAUGGGGAGCGAACAGG
rnacentral:rRNA from 1 species